UACUCCAACAGAGAACUCUGCUACUCCACAUUCUGAUAUUGUUACCUAUUCUGUCAUCAACAUACGGCUUCCGCUUCUCUCUCAUGCUCGCCUGAAGGCUCUCCUUUAAGCCACAAGCCAGAAAUUUGGUCUGCAAUAAAGAACAGCCUCAGAGCUCACGAAAAGGACUCUGCCGGGUAUUUUUUAACAAUUGAUAUUUCAGAAAAUAGACUUAGAAGGUGACAUCGCUUAGAAAAUUGCAGAGGGACGUGGGAUUUCCAGGAUGCUUUGUAAUUCAGUACCAGAUAAUUUUAUAGAAGCCAACUGAUGACUCAAGCUCUAAUGGAAGAAGAAUAAAUUAAGAAUGACUGAAGGAACUCAAGAAGAACAUCUAAUUGUGAUCAUUUAUUUUGGAAUAAUGCUGAGACGUCAUGCAAGUGGAAUUAUACAAUAUAGUUGAUACACUCUUAUCCAGAGGGAUACGUUCCAAGACCCACAGUGGAUGCCUGAAGCCAUGGAUAGUACCAAACUACGUGAGAUGAUAAAACACCUACGUGAUGACAUGAAAUGAGGGGAAUGACCUAGGCACUGAGACAUAGCAUUGGGUUGCUAUUGACUUUCUGGCCAUAUGUCGGAAGGAGGACCAUCUGUUUCUGGACUGCGGUUGACCACAGGUAACUGAGACCACAGAGAGCAAAAGGAAGAGGAGAUUUGGACACACAAAGAGACACAAGGGGCACUCCACAAAGGAAAGAGCAUAUGAGGACACAGCAAGAAGACAGCCAUGUGCAAGCCAAGGAGAGAGGCCUCAGGGAAAACCAAACCGGCUGACAACCUGGCCUCGGACUUUCAGCCUCUAGACCCGUGGAAAAUAAAUCUCUGCUGUCGAAGCCA